UACGUAGGGUGCAAGCGUUGUCCGGAAUUAUUGGGCGUAAAGAGCUCGUAGGCGGUCUGUCGCGUCUGCUGUGAAAACUCGGGGCUUAACCCCGGGCCUGCAGUGGGUACGGGCAGACUAGAGUGCGGUAGGGGAGACUGGAAUUCCUGGUGUAGCGGUGAAAUGCGCAGAUAUCAGGAGGAACACCGGUGGCGAAGGCGGGUCUCUGGGCCGUAACUGACACUGAGGCACGAAAGCUGGGGGAGCAAACAGG
rnacentral:rRNA from 1 species